AACGAACGCUGGCGGCAUGCCUAACACAUGCAAGUCGAACGAGACCUUCGGGUCUAGUGGCGCACGGGUGCGUAACGCGUGGGAACCUGCCCUUAGGUUCGGAAUAACUCCCCGAAAGGGGUGCUAAUACCGGAUAAUGUCUUCGGACCAAAGAUUUAUCGCCUUUGGAUGGGCCCGCGUUGGAUUAGCUAGUUGGUAGGGUAAAAGCCUACCAAGGCGACGAUCCAUAGCUGGUCUGAGAGGAUGAUCAGCCACACUGGGACUGAGACACGGCCCAGACUCCUACGGGAGGCAGCAGUGGGGAAUAUUGGACAAUGGGCGAAAGCCCGAUCCAGCAAUGCCGCGUGAGUGAUGAAGGCCUUAGGGUUGUAAAGCUCUUUUACCCGGGAUGAUAAUGACAGUACCGGGGGAAUAAGCUCCGGCUAACUCCGUG
rnacentral:rRNA from 1 species